rnacentral:ncRNA from 4 species
GUACAGCAGGCACAGACAGGCAGU